GAUCCUGUGAUGAAACCAGGCCUGACAACUGAAGCAACUGUACCUUGUUUUCAGAUGUUGGCAUUACAUCAGAUUGUUUCCUCUCCUCCUAAUGUUAUGCAAAGUGUUGACAGACAACUCAUGAGCAAAACCCUGGAUACAGUGAGAUCCCAAACAGAACAUGAAACUGGCUCUCAAAAGCUCCCACAUCCUGCACAGCACGAAGAGUGAUAUACAAACUUACGACUAGAGAAAAACACAUUGGCUGUGGCGGUUCUGUAAUUGGAUUCUGUGAUGAAAACGCUCAUUCUCUCUUCUGCUCUUCUCAGCCUCCAGCUCCAGGAUUCUGGUCUGAAGGGAACUUUCUCUGGAGACGGCUUUGUCUUUGACUUUGGAAACCUCGGCAUGAGAUAAAUAAAGAUUAUGAGAUGUGUCAAAAAGAAAACCACACAUAUCGACAGGAACUCAUCCCCUAAAAAACACCAUCUUCAAUUCGCUUCUGUGCCUUUCCAUUCCCCUUCGGGGAACAUUGAUUCCACUUAAUAUGAACCUUUAUUCUGAGCAUUUGAAUUUGCUUCUAUGUACACAUACACUAGAUUUGAAUAAAACCAUAUGCUGAGUGUA